AGGGGUAUAGCUCAGUUGGUAGAGCGGCAGUCUCCAAAACCGCAGGUCGUAAGUUCGAGCCUUACUGCCCCUGCCA
rnacentral:tRNA from 1 species